rnacentral:lncRNA from 1 species
GCUCUGUGCUGGGGAAGGUCUGGGCUCUGGAGGAAUGUGUGUGUGAGCUGCGGCCUUUAAAACCUCCCUGCUUUAACCCCCGGCCCACGUGACACCACACCCCCCUGCAUCGGUCUGUGUUACCGGCAGAACGCUCACCCUCCUAUUGGUGCAGCAGGCGUCAGUGAGGCCUCUGCGAGUGAUCAACAUUCAUGCGGCCCGCCACACAAAACCUGCAGAGGGCAACAUUCACCAACUUACCUCUCUGCCAUCAUUCCCCCCCAUCCUCCCGUCCCGCUCCUCUCCGUCCCCAUCGACAGCCCCUCCCAUCGGAGACCAGAAGCUCUCCGGACCCCCCCCCCCCACCCAUCGUUGCCCUGGAGACGGCUCAGACGAGCAGGUGAUGCAUUGACAGGGAGCAGAUGGUUCCCUGUGGAGAGUCCCGUUUAUGUGUCCUUUGUCAGCAAGGCCAUCCUGUGGGACAGAGGACUCUGUCACUACCCUGCUCACGUUCAUCCCACCGAUCGCACCUCACUGU